UAAGAAGGAUAGUGUGUAUCAGCUUUAUGCUAACUUCUAUGCAUUUUGCGCUGAAAGUGUUUCCUGCUAUAUAGAUUGAAGGAAAGUGGGCAGUUGGGCUAGACUUGUAUCCUGUUUUCUCCAACAAUCAUUUUCCUCUCAUGU
rfam:Zea mays cultivar B73 chromosome 7, whole genome shotgun sequence.